rnacentral:rRNA from 4 species
CGGUAGCUAAAUGCGGAAGAGAUAAGUGCUGAAAGCAUCUAAGCACGAAACUUGCCCCGAGAUGAGUUCUCCCUGAGACUUAGAGUCUCCUGAAGGAACGUUGAAGACGACGACGUUGAUAGGCCGGGUGUGUAAGCGCAGCGAUGCGUUGAGCUAACCGGUACUAAUGAACCGUGAGGCUUAACCUU